GACGAACGCUGGCGGCGUGCCUAAUACAUGCAAGUUGAGCGAUGAAGAUUGGUGCUUGCACCAAUUUGAAGAGCAGCGAACGGGUGAGUAACGCGUGGGGAAUCUGCCUUUGAGCGGGGGACAACAUUUGGAAACGAAUGCUAAUACCGCAUAACAACUUUAAACAUAAGUUUUAAGUUUGAAAGAUGCAAUUGCAUCACUCAAAGAUGAUCCCGCGUUGUAUUAGCUAGUUGGUGAGGUAAAGGCUCACCAAGGCGAUGAUACAUAGCCGACCUGAGAGGGUGAUCGGCCACAUUGGGACUGAGACACGGCCCAAACUCCUACGGGAGGCAGCAGUAGGGAAUCUUGGGCAAUGGACGAAAGUCUGACCGAGCAACGCCGCGGGAGUGAAGAAGGUUUUCGGAUCGUAAAAAUCGGUUGGUAGAGAAGAACGUUGGUGGGAGUGGAAAGCUCAUCAAGUGACGGUAACUACCCAGAAAGGGACGGCUAACUACGUG
rnacentral:rRNA from 1 species